GCCGCUGUAGCUCAGGGGUAGAGCAGCUCAUUCGUAACGAGCAGGUCGUCGGUUCGAGACCGACCAGCGGCU
rnacentral:tRNA from 1 species